rnacentral:rRNA from 2 species
CGGCGAGUGAAGCGGCAACAGCUCAAAUUUGAAAUCUGGCUUCGGCCCGAGUUGUAAUUUGUAGAGGAAGCUUUAGGCGCGGCACCUUCUGAGUCCCCUGGAACGGGGCGCCAAAGAGGGUGAGAGCCCCGUAUAGUUGGAUGCCUAGCCUGUGUAAAGCUCCUUCGACGAGUCGAGUAGUUUGGGAAUGCUGCUCAAAAUGGGAGGUAAAUUUCUUCUAAAGCUAAAUACCGGCCAGAGACCGAUAGCGCACAAGUAGAGUGAUCGAAAGAUGAAAAGCACUUUGAAAAGAGGGUUAAAUAGCACGUGAAAUUGUUGAAAGGGAAGCGCUUGUGACCAGACUUGCGCCAGGCUGAUCAUCCGGUGUUCUCACCGGUGCACUCUGCCCGGCGCAGGCCAGCAUCGGUUCUCGCGGGGGGAUAAAGGCUCCGGGAACGUAGCUCCUCCGGGAGUGUUAUAGCCCGGGGCGUAAUGCCCUCGCGGGGACCGAGGACCGCGCAUCUUGCAAGGAUGCUGGCGUAAUGGUCACCAGCGACCCGUCUUGCACACACCGGAAACCAAAAA